rnacentral:rRNA from 1 species
GACGGAGGGUGCAAGUGUUAUCCGGAAUCACUGGGCGUAAAGCGUCUGUAGGUGGUCAAAUAAGUCAACUGUUAAAUCUUGAGGCUCAACCUCAAAACCGCAGUCGAAACUAUUAGACUAGAGUAUAGUAGGGGUAAGGGGAAUUUCCAGUGGAGCGGUGAAAUGCGUAGAGAUUGGAAAGAACACCGAUGGCGAAGGCACUUUACUGGGCUAUGACUAACACUCAGGGACGAAAGCGAGGGUAGCAAAUGGG